rnacentral:misc_RNA from 1 species
GUCGUCUCUAGGAAUAAUAAUCUUAAAAAGGGAGAGAAAUGGCAGAUAAUUCGAUUCUAUGUUCUGCUUGUUAUACGAUUCUAAGUCUUUUCUUGCUCUUUUCUUGCCUCUCCGCCCUUUCUCUUUCCGUAAACGACUUGGGUCCAUCAAAUACAUUCACUGUUUCGAGCUUCAGGUACCCUAAAUCUGCAGUCCAGCCUUACGAUUUGCGUUAUAUUCGAGGAUGCUAAAAGCAUAUCAAAGGUUCCUAAAAGCACACUGCCUAUGAUCUGCUUCAGAGAUGGCAGCCCACCUCUGCCAGAUGUCCUAAACAGUUCUAUUGUAGAAUUAGGUCCUAUCUCAAAUGCGUCAUUUGAAGCACUAACGGGUUCUCAGAAUGUUCAGUGCUAUCCAAUGCAGAAAAAUAUAAAGGUGGAGUUGACAAAUGAACAGAUAUCUCCUGGAGUUUGGUAUCUUGGUCUCUUCAAUGGCAUUGGACCUACAAGGUCGCAAUCAAAAAUGAUUAUCCGCAGCCCAG